rnacentral:misc_RNA from 1 species
UUUCUAUUAAUUCAAUGGUACCCAGAGGUUAAACAUCAUUGUCCAGAUACGCCUAUCGUAUUAAUUGGAACAAAAAUGGACUUAAGGGACGACAAUACAGAACGUGAACAUGCAUUAAAGAAAGACAUUUCCUUUGUUGAGGGUAGGAGCCUUGCACAGGAAAUCCAAGCAGUGAAUUAUGUAGAAUGCUCUGCGAAGACCGGCAAGAAUACAAAACUAGUUUUUAAUGAAGCGAUACGAGCCUGCUUAAUUCGUCAAAAGCAGAAGAAAAGAAGACGUAGGUGUAAACUUGUAUGAAGACAAGAGAUGAAAAACAGUGGUCAUAAAAUUGCUAAAUAUAGACAAAGUGAAAUGAAUGUUUUUCAGUUCUGUAUUAAUACAUACACAAAAGAAAUUAACCAUGACAAUAUCUGAAGGCACCAUAUACCAUUCACACGGUGUAUACCCAUAUCGGAUCCCUCUCUGUGGAAAAUGAGAAAACGGAUCCCUCUCUGUUCGCACACAGGACACUCUCUGUGCUAAACAAUAAACUCCAACGUCAGU